rnacentral:lncRNA from 8 species
GCUGGGCUCUCUGUUUGUUCGAGGGCUGACCCACCUGGCGGCUGCCAAGAGGCUUGCGGCUGCCCCUUCCCCAUGUAGCAGCUGGUGCCCUGAAACACCUUUGACGACCUGCUCUUCCACUCAGAGUACCUGCUGGCUCACUCAGGGAGGCCCCAGGAAGAGCUGCUGGAGGGCAAUACCCCCUGGGUGUUCCUGUUCCAUUCCCUCAGAGAGCUGGUCUUGGGAACCUGCAGCUGGCGUGGCCAGACCAUCUAGUCCAGACCAUCCCGUCCUGACCAUCUAGUCCAGUAUAGACCAUCCAGGCCAGACCAUCUAGUCCAGACCACCUAGUCCAGACCAUCCAGUCCAGACAAUCCAGUUCAGUCCAGACAAUCCAGUUCAGUCCAGAACAUCCAGUUCAGUCCAGACUAUCUAGUCCAGACUAUCUAGUCCAGACUAUCUAGUCCAGACUAUCUAGUCCAGACUAUCUAGUCCAGACUAUCUAGUCCAGACCAUCUAGGCCAGUACAGACCAUCCAGUCCAUCUUGUCCAGCCCAUCUUGUACAUACCAUCUAGGCCAGACCAUCUAGGCCAGACCAGACCAUCUAGUCCAGACCAUUCAGUCCAGACCAUCUAGUCCAGUACAGACCAUCCAGACCAGACCAUCUAGUCCAGUCCAGACCAUCUAGUCCAGUCCAGACCAUCUAGUCCAGUCCAGACCAUCUAGUCCAGACCAUCCAAACCAUCUAGUCCAGACCAUCCAAACCAUCUAGUCCAGACCAUCUAGUCCAGACCAUCUAGUCCAGACCAUCUAGUCCAGACCAUCUAGUCCAGACCAUCUAGUCCAGACCAUCCAGGCCAGACCAUCCAGGCCAGACCACGGACAACACAGCCCAUUGAGACACAUUCAUCUCACUAAUGAAGCAUGUUGAGGUCCCAGUGUCGGUGAACAUGGCACACAUACUGUAUUUACACAAACACAGAGUCUAUUAGUGAGAUGAAACAGAGUCCAUACGUUCAAUGUAUUUACUAAAUAUAUUUGUAUCUGCCUAUACUAUUUGUUUAGGCUAGUGUUAAAAAGGCCAUGGCAACAAAUACUUAACAAAGGAGUCUUCAUAGUACCCUCCCCAAAGUUAUGUGAUUCCUGAGGCAAAGACAUCGCUGCUCUUUGCCACACUCAAAGAGAGACAGCCU